rnacentral:rRNA from 1 species
AUUGAACGCUGGCGGAAUGCUUUACACAUGCGAGUCGAACGGCAGCACGGGGGCAGCCCUGGUGGCGAGUGGCGAACGGGUGAGUAAUACAUCGGAACGUGCCCGGUCGUGGGGGAUAACGUAGCGAAAGUUACGCUAAUACCGCAUACGAUCUGAGGAUGAAAGCGGGGGACCUUCGGGCCUCGCGCGAUCGGAGCGGCCGAUGUCAGAUUAGGUAGUUGGUGGGGUAAAGGCCUACCAAGCCGACGAUCUGUAGCUGGUCUGAGAGGACGACCAGCCACACUGGGACUGAGACACGGCCCAGACUCCUACGGGAGGCAGCAGUGGGGAAUUUUGGACAAUGGGCGCAAGCCUGAUCCAGCCAUUCCGCGUGCAGGACGAAGGCCUUCGGGUUGCAAACUGCUUUUGUACGGAACGAAAAGGCUCUGGCUAAUACCUGGGGCUCAUGACGGUACCGUAAGAAUAAGCACCGGCUAACUACGUG